rnacentral:rRNA from 1 species
CCUACGGGAGGCUGCAGUGGGGAAUAUUGGGCAAUGGGCGCAAGCCUGACCCAGCAACGCCGCGUGAAGGAAGAAGGCCCUCGGGUUGUAAACUUCUUUUAUUCGGGACGAAACAAAUGACGGUACCGAAUGAAUAAGCCACGGCUAACUACGUGCCAGCAGCCGCGGUAAUACGGCGGUGGCAAGCGUUAUCCGGAUUUACUGGGUGUAAAGGGCGUGUAGGCGGGAGAGGAAGUCAGACGUGAAAUUCCAGGGCUCAACCAUGGAACUGGGUUUGAAACUGGUCGUCUUGAGUGAUGGAGAGGCAGGCGGAAUGCGGGGUGUAGCGGUGAAAUGCGUAGAUAUACGGAGGAACAC